UACGAAGGGGGCAAGCGUUGUUCGGAAUGACUGGGCGUAAAGGGCGCGUAGGCGGAUGGCACAGUCAGAUGUGAAAUUCCCGGGCUUAACCUGGGGCUGCAUUUGAUACGUGUGAUCUAGAGUGAGGAAGAGGGUCGUGGAAUUCCCAGUGUAGAGGUGAAAUUCGUAAGAUAUUGGGAAGAACACCGGUGGCGAAGGCGGCGACCUGGUCCUUGACUGACGCUGGAGGCGACGAAAGCGUGGGGAGCAAACAGG
rnacentral:rRNA from 1 species